UAGCCCCAAAGGUUUUAUUUUAAGGUUAAA
rnacentral:piRNA from 1 species